GGGCGGAUGCAGGAAUUUUCGAAAGGGGGGGUGCUAACCCAGGGCAAAGGGGGGGUGCAAAACAUAUGUCCCGAUACAAAUGCAUUGAUCGGCAAAAAUAAAGGGGGGGGUGGGCACCCCCGGAACCCCCCCUCUGGAUCCGCCACUGCAAUUGAACCAGCUUUUGGUAAAUGGAAGUACUCUCAGAUCUUUACUUACUGUCUUUUUGUUGUUGGAUGUACAAUUACAAAUCCAUGUCCACUUUGUGUUUUUGUUAUAUUUGUAUUUCUAUUUGUAUCCAUCUAAUAUUCUGUAUGUAUGUGCCUGUCCCAAGUAAGGAGCCUGUAGUUCAGUGAUUGCUGUUUGUUGCUGUGUUACAUAAUAUUUUUUUUUUAUUGUUUGGUACAUAAAUACGGCUGUCAGUUUUCUCAAUUGAAUUCUUUAAAGUUUGUGAUUUAUCAUGUAGCUGACUGUGGUAUGGGCUUUGCUCAUUUUUGAAGGCUAUACAGUGACCUAUAGGUCAUAUUUUCUGUUUUAUUUGGUCUCUUGUGGAGAGUUGCUUUAUCAGCUAACGCUCAGGAUAACAUUUGAAUAUCACAACCAAGGCCAUGUGUAAAUUUCCAAUAAAUAUAUGGCUUCCAUGAAUUAUUUCUUAAAUAAAAAAAUG
rnacentral:lncRNA from 1 species